rnacentral:rRNA from 1 species
UACGAGGGGGGCAAGCGUUGUCCGGAUUUAUUGGGCGUAAAGAGCGUGUAGGCGGCCAAGCAGGUCAGCUGUGAAAACUCGAGGCUCAACCUCGAGACGUCGGUUGAAACCGCUUGGCUAGAGUCCGGAAGAGGAGAGUGGAAUUCCCGGUGUAGCGGUGAAAUGCGCAGAUAUCGGGAAGAACACCCGUGGCGAAGGCGGCUCUCUGGCACGGUACUGACGCUGAGACGCGAAAGCGUGGGGAGCGAACAGG